rnacentral:rRNA from 1 species
UACGUAGGGUGCGAGCGUUGUCCGGAAUUACUGGGCGUAAAGAGCUCGUAGGCGGUUUGUCGCGUCGUUCGUGAAAACUCACAGCUUAACUGUGAGCUUGCGGUCGAUACGGGCAGGCUAGAGUUCGGUAGGGGAGACUGGAAUUCCUGGUGUAGCGGUGAAAUGCGCAGAUAUCAGGAGGAACACCGGUGGCGAAGGCGGGUCUCUGGGCCGAUAUCGACGCUGAGGAGCGAAAGCGUGGGGAGCGAACAGG